AUUGAACGCUGGCGGCAUGCCUUACACAUGCAAGUCGAACGGUAACAGGUCUUCGGAUGCUGACGAGUGGCGAACGGGUGAGUAAUACAUCGGAACGUGUCCGAUCGUGGGGGAUAACGAGGCGAAAGCUUUGCUAAUACCGCAUACGAUCUACGGAUGAAAGCGGGGGAUCUUCGGACCUCGCGCGGACGGAGCGGCCGAUGGCAGAUUAGGUAGUUGGUGGGAUAAAAGCUUACCAAGCCGACGAUCUGUAGCUGGUCUGAGAGGAUGAUCAGCCACACUGGGACUGAGACACGGCCCAGACUCCUACGGGAGGCAGCAGUGGGGAAUUUUGGACAAUAGGCGAAAGCCUGAUCCAGCCAUGCCGCGUGCAGGAUGAAGGCCUUCGGGUUGUAAACUGCUUUUGUACGGAACGAAAAGCCUCUUUCUAAUAAAGAGGGGUCAUGACGGUACCGUAAGAAUAAGCACCGGCUAACUACGUG
rnacentral:rRNA from 1 species